AAUCACACUGCAGCCUUGGGACCCCAAAUGCCCAGCUGUGCAGCUGAUUUUCUGGCUGGGCGAGGAGGAGCUAGUCUCUGUGGAUCUGGUCCCUGCUGUCCAGGAUAAGAUGGUGUUGUCUGAAGACUGGCAGACAAACGACCUGGCCAGACUGUCCGACUGGUGGGACAAGGAGCUGGGCAACAGCCAGGAAAGAUUCCACCAGAAGGGAGAGGAAGUUGGGAGAGUCGGUGCUGACAUAGUGGCCAGAGAUGGUUUCUGGAGGUUCUCUUUUGCCAAUGCCGAGACAGCUUUUCUCCGGGACAUCGACAGUGAUGGGGGGUAGUGAUGGAAAGCUCUGAGACUCCUGAAGGUCAUAAACAAGGAGUGCUGGGUCCCAGAAUAUGGCAAGAUAUUGACGUCUUACCACCUGAAGACCGUUCUUCUGUGGGCCCAAGAUAUUCACCCGGAGACGGAGAAAUGGGAGACCCUGGAGUCGUCCCUGAAGACCCUCCUGAGCCUCCUACGUCACUGCGUGAACAAGAUAAAGCUCCCCCACUAUUUCCUGCGUGACUUUAACCUCUUCAACAAGCGCUACAGGGAAGGUAACGGGUUCUAUGAGUGCCUGGCCUUGCAGGUCCUCAACAAGGAGGGGGAGCUGUUGCAGGUGAAUCCAGCAGACUAUAUAUCCCUGAGAGUCCCCAAGAAGCAUUCUGAGAGUCCUGGGGUCUUCAGCAGAGCAGAGACAUCUCUCCAGGGAUUUAAUUCGAGCCACCUGAAGAAGCUGAAGGAGUUGGAGGAGAAACAGCUGUAUGAGUGGAAAGAGGAAGAGCCGGGUAACAAGAAUGUAAUGGCCUAGCCAGUCCAAGGGAGGGAACACGUUGAGCCCUGAAGGAUUUAACAGAGGAGCAGAUCCCAGCUAUAGGAUUGUGCCGGGAAGCAGCCACAGCCAUAGCUAAGAAUGAGAAACGUGUCAUCUGAGUAGCUGUAAAAUACUCAUGCAUCACCAGUUUGACUUGAAAAUUGCUGAGCUCCAUGGGGGCCAGGGUUGGAGUUAGUGCUGAAAAUGUCAUGGUUUUUCCCUCAAAUAUAUAGCCCCUCCCCCACUGCCCUCACUUUAAAAUUUCUCCCAUUCUUA